CCGAGUGAGGGCCCCGGGCCCGACCUCCAACCCUUUGUUGACCAACACCUGUUGCCUCGGGGGCGACCCGGACGCCGACGCCGACGCGUCGGCCGCGGGCACCCCGAUGGACCAUUAACGCUGUAUCUGUACGUCGGAGUAUCGAGCGAAUCAAUCA
rnacentral:misc_RNA from 1 species